rnacentral:rRNA from 1 species
GCGUGAAUCUGCCGGGACCAUCCGGUAAGGCUAAAUACUCCCGAGAGACCGAUAGCGAACCAGUACCGUGAGGGAAAGGUGAAAAGCACUUCGAACAGAAGAGUGAAAUAGUUCCUGAAACCGUGCGCCUACAAGCGGUCGGAGCUCGUUAAUGAGUGACGGCGUGCCUUUUGCAUAAUGAACCUACGAGUUGCCUUUGCCGGCAAGGUUAAGUGUGACGACACACGUAUCCGAAGCGAAAGCGAGUCUGAACAGGGCGUAUAGUCGGCAGUGGCAGACGCGAAACCAAGUGAUCUACCCUUGGCCAGGUUGAAGGCUGGGUAACACCAGCUGGAGGACCGCACCAAUAAGCGUUGAAAAGCUUCUGGAUGAGCUGAGGGUAGGGGUGAAAGGCUAAUCAAACUUGGAGAUAGCUCGUACUCCCCGAAAUGCAUUUAGGUGCAGCCUUGCGGGUUACUGAUGUGAGGUAGAGCGACUGAUAAGAUGCGAGGGCUUCACCGCCUAUCAAGUCUUGACAAACUCCGAAUGCGCAUCAGUUCUACCGCAGGAGUGAGGGCAUGGGUGCUAAGGUCCGUGCCCGAGAGGAGAAGAAUCCGGACCACCGGCUAAGGUCCCGAAAUGACAGCUAAGUUAAACUAACGAAGUCUGAUUGCUAAGACAGCUAGGAUGUUGGCUUGGAAGCAGCCAUUCAUUUAAAGAGUGCGUAACAGCUCACUAGUCGAGGAGUCGGGCGUGGAUAAUAAUCGGGUAUUAAGUUGUCUACCGAAGCAGUGGGAUCAUUUAUAUGAUCGGUAGGGGAGCAUUCCAGUCAGCGUCGAAGGCGUACCGUGAGGUAUUCUGGAGCGUCUGGAAAAGCAAAUGUAGGUAUAAGUAACGAUAAAGGGGGCGGGAAACCCCCUCGCCGAAAGACUAAGGUUUCCUGAUCAACGCUAAUCGGAUCAGGGUCAGUCGGGUCCUAAGGCUCAGCCGAACGGCGAUGCCGAUGGCAGAAACGGUUAAUAUUCCGUUACUACCUUCAGGAGUGACGUGGAGACGCAGUAGUGACAGUGCCGCCAUCUGACGGAAUAGAUGGUUGAAGGGUGUAGGAGUCGAUCAUGGCAGGCAAAUCCACCAUGAGAUCCGAACCUGAUAGUAUGCCGCGUCCUUCGGGACAAGGCAAUAGUGCGCGUAAGCAUGCUGCCGAGAAAAUCCGCUAAACUUAAUCCUGCAGGUACCCGUACCGCAAACGGACACACGUAGUCGGGAUGAAUAUUCUAAGGCGCUUGAGUGAUUCACGGUUAAGGAACUAGGCAAACUGACCCUGUAACUUCGGGAUAAAGGGUCCCUACCCUUUUAUGGGAGGGCGCAGAGAAUCGGUCCAGGCAACUGUUUAACAAAAACACAGGGCUGUGCCAAAUCGAAAGAUCCAGUAUACAGCCUGACACCUGCCCGGUGCUGGAAGGUUAAGAGGAGAUGUCAUCGAUAAGAGAAGCGUUGAAUUGAAGCCCCAGUAAACGGCGGCCGUAACUAUAACGGUCCUAAGGUAGCGAAAUUCCUUGUCGGGU